rnacentral:rRNA from 1 species
AAUAUUUCGCAAUGGGGGAAACCCUGACGCCGCGACGCCGCGUGAACUAUUAAUGCCUUCGGUUCGUAAAUUCUUUUCCUCAGGGAAGAAUACAUUGACGGUACGUGAGGCAGAAGCCCCGGACAACUACGUUCUAGCCUCCGCGGUAAUACGUAGGGGGCAAGCGUUGUCCGGAAUUACUGGGCGUAAAGGGUGCGUAGGCGGCCUUUUAAGUCAGAUGUGAAAGACCACAGCUUAACUGUGGGAUUGCAUUUGAAACUGAAGGGCUUGAGUGUCGGAGAGGGUAGUGGAAUUCCCGGAGUAGCGGUGAAAUGCGUAGAUAUCGGGAGGAACACCAGUGGCGAAGGCGACUACCUGGACGACAACUGACGCUGAGGCACGAAAGCUAGGGGAGCAAAC